rnacentral:sRNA from 1 species
AUGGUAACCGGCGUGGCAACCAGGAGUCGGUUGGGCUGAGGCCCUGAGCCCCGACUGUCAGAAGGAGCCUGAGGCUGAGGUGGAGGCUGGGAGUUUGGGGCUGGUGGAUCCUCUGAAGGCCAUGGAAUCCUCCACGGGGCCCAGGAUGCCUUUGCUCAAAUACUGCAGCGUGGCCACAAGCCUGAAGGCCCCUGGCUGGGACGGUGCUGCUCCACCCUGGAACCUCUCCUUCACCUACCCCUUUGCCCUCCAAGCACCCUGGCUCACCGGGCACAAGCCCCUUGCAAGGCACGCCUCUUCUUGCCCGUGUCUCCACGUUGCCGACCCAGCAUGGCAGGGGCCUGGCUGGCUGGGAAGAGCUGGAGAUGCUGCCAACACAUGGGUCCUAGCAAGAAGGGAAGCAGAUGGUUUUUACUACCGGGCCCAAAUAAAGGCCGCUCCCGAGGCAAGUCCCUGACCCCCAGUAUCUCCCUGGCGUGCUCCUCUGGGUGGCCCUGUCAUACCUGACAUGCCUUAGCUGUGUGCAUCUAGCAGGCUGGUUUCUUGCAUAAGCACAGCUCUCCCAUGGCCAUGUUGUAGAAGUGAACAUGUAAUACCAUUGAGUGUAUUAGUUUGCUAGGGCUCCCUAACAAAGUGCAACAAACGGAGUGGCUUAAACCACAGAAAUGUGUCAUCUCCCAUUUCUGGAGGCUGGAAGUCCAGGGGUUGGCAAGGUUGGUUCCUUCUGAGAGCUAUGAAGAAGAAUCAUUCCCAUGCCCUGCUUCUGGCUUCUCACGGCUUGCUGGCAGGCUUUGGUGUUCCUCAGCUUAUAGAGGCAUCGCCUUGAUCUCUGCCUUUACCUUUAUGGGGCUUUCUCCCUGAGUGUGUGUCUGCCCACGUUUCCCCCUUUAUAAGGACAUCAAUCACACUGGAUUAGGGACCU